GACGAACGCUGGCGGCGUGCUUAACACAUGCAAGUCGAACGGAAAGGCCCUGCUUGCAGGGUACUCGAGUGGCGAACGGGUGAGUAACACGUGGGUGAUCUGCCCUGCACUUCGGGAUACGCUUGGGAAAGUGGGUCUAAUACCGGAUAGGAGCCAUCUUGAGUGUGGUGGUUGGAAAGUUUUUUCGGUGUAGGAUGAGCUCGCGGCCUAUCAGCUUGUUGGUGGGGUAAUGGCCUACCAAGGCGGCGACGGGUAGCCGGCCUGAGAGGGUGUACGGCCACACUGGGACUGAGAGACGGCCCAGACUCCUACGUGAGGCAGCAGUGGGGAAUAUUGCACAAUGGGCGCAAGCCUGAUGCAGCGACGCCGCGGGGGGGAUGAAGGCCUUCGGGUUGUAAACUCCUUUCGCUAGGGACGAAGCGUUUUUGUGACGGUACCUAGAUAAGAAGCACCGGCUAACUACGUG
rnacentral:rRNA from 1 species